AGGAAGAGCGUCUGAACGGUGGUGGUACCUUUGCCGACUUUCUUGGAAUGCGUGAGAGCUGGAAGAACACCAUCAUUCUUUACUACUGCUCAACGGUGAUAUCAUUCGCCUACUUCACCAUGGGCAUCAGGAUUCGGAAGUCUGCCAGCCACCCUGACGUAAUGCUCCUGAUCGCUUCACUGAUGGACUUGUGCGCCCAACUGUGUGCCAUAUUGUGCGUUGCCAGUUGCGGACGUCGCACUGGCGAGGCACUUUGCUUGUGCUGCGCUGGAUUCGUCAGUUUUGUGGCUGCUUCGUUGACAGGUGUGGCAGUAUUGACUCGGGCAGUGACCAUGGUGGCCUGCGCCUCGGUGGCCGCAUCCUAUUCCAUCAUUUGGCUGUACGCUGCCGAGAUUUACCCGACGAUCAUCCGGAACACUGGCCUGGCGUUGUGCUACGCAUUUUCCAGACUCGGCAGCACUCUCGCUCCUCUCACGGAA